AAGUCGUAACAAGGUCUCCGUUGGUGAACCAGCGGAGGGAUCAUUACCGAGUUUACAACUCCCAAACCCAUGUGAACAUACCUAUCGUUGCUUCGGCGGGAUUGCCCCGGGCGCCUCGUGUGCCCCGGACCAGGCGCCCGCCUAGGAACUCAAACUCUUGUUUUAUUUUGGAAUCUUCUGAGUAGUUUUUACAAAUAAAUAAAAACUUUCAACAACGGAUCUCUUGGUUCUG
rnacentral:misc_RNA from 1 species